rnacentral:rRNA from 1 species
UACGGAGGAUGCAAGCGUUAUCCGGAAUUACUGGGCGUAAAGGGUGCGUAGGUGGUUUCUUAAGUCAGAGGUGAAAGGCUACGGCUCAACCGUAGUAAGCCUUUGAAACUGGGAAACUUGAGUGCAGGAGAGGAGAGUGGAAUUCCUAGUGUAGCGGUGAAAUGCGUAGAUAUUAGGAGGAACACCAGUUGCGAAGGCGGCUCUCUGGACUGUAACUGACACUGAGGCACGAAAGCGUGGGGAGCAAACAGGAUUAGAUACCCGCGUAGUCCCU